ACGAACGCUGGCGGCGUGCUUAACACAUGCAAGUCGCACGGAAAGGCCCUGCUUUUGUGGGGUGCUCGAGUGGCGAACGGGUGAGUAACACGUGAGUAACCUGCCCUUGACUUUGGGAUAACUUCAGGAAACUGGGGCUAAUACCGGAUAGGAGCUCCUGCUGCAUGGUGGGGGUUGGAAAGUUUCGGCGGUUGGGGAUGGACUCGCGGCUUAUCAGCUUGUUGGUGGGGUAGUGGCUUACCAAGGCUUUGACGGGUAGCCGGCCUGAGAGGGUGACCGGCCACAUUGGGACUGAGAUACGGCCCAAACUCCUACGGGAGGCAGCAGUGGGGAAUAUUGCACAAUGGGCGGAAGCCUGAUGCAGCAACGCCGCGUGCGGGAUGACGGCCUUCGGGUUGUAAACCGCUUUCGCCUGUGACGAAGCGUGAGUGACGGUAAUGGGUAAAGAAGCACCGGCUAACUACGUG
rnacentral:rRNA from 1 species